AACGUAGGACGCAAGCGUUAUCCGGAGUUACUGGGCGUAAAGGGCAGGCAGGCGGGUCGAUAAGUCGGAUGUGAAAUCUCCCUGGCUUAACCGGGAGAGUGCAUUUGAGACUGUCAACCUGGAGGGUAGCAGAGGAGCGUGGAAUUCCGGGUGGAGUGGUGAAAUGCGUAGAGAUCCGGAGGAACACCAGAGGCGAAAGCGGCGCUCUGGGCUGCGCCUGACGCUGAACUGCGAAAGCCAGGGGAGCGAACGGG
rnacentral:rRNA from 1 species